rnacentral:rRNA from 1 species
GAUGAACGCUGGCGGCGUGCCUAAUACAUGCCAGUCGAGCGAACGGACGAGAAGCUUGCUUCUCUGAUGUUAGCGGCGGACGGGUGAGUAACACGUGGAUAACCUACCUAUCAGACUGGGAUAACUUCGGGAAACCGGAGCUAAUACCGGAUAAUAUUUUGAACCGCAUGGUUCAAAAGUGAAAGACGGUCUUGCUGUCACUUAUAGAUGGAUCCGCGCUGCAUUAGCUAGUUGGUAAGGUAACGGCUUACCAAGGCAACGAUGCAUAGCCGACCUGAGAGGGUGAUAGGCCACACUGGAACUGAGACACGGUCCAGACGCCUACGGGAGGCAGCAGUAGGGAAUCUUCCGCAAUGGGCGAAAGCCUGACGGAGCAACGCCGCGUGAGUGAUGAAGGUCUUCGGAUCGUAAAACUCUGUUAUUAGGGAAGAACAUAUGUGUAAGUAACUGUGCACAUCUUGACGGUACCUAAUCAGAAAGCCACGGCUAACUACGUG